UGCUCUUGACACAGCACGAAAAACCCCAGUUGUUAGUGUGUUCCAAAUCCACAAACGGCCGGAGCUCUCCUAAAACGUGGUGGUGCUCCAAAUCUACAAAUGCUCUUGGAGGAGCUGUCCGAAAAUGUGAGCUCAAAGUCGUAGGUUUUGCUACGGGAGAGAAUGGUGGAGGCCCUAUCUCUGCCACCGGUCUCCACCCUCAUGGUGCGGACCUUCAUCUUUGGUUGAGAGGUUUUUCAAGCGUGCUUCAUCUCUUCCAGAAAAUCGACGCCAUCCCCUUCGGCAGCGGGGGCCUCCGAGGUUGAAGGAGGCAGUGGCAGAGGUGCCCAAGGACGGCGUCUUGAGGAAGGUGGAAAUGGUGGUGUGCCAGGAGGUAGGGUUCUCGAUGUGCUUGAGGAAGGCAUCUUGAGGAAGCUCGUCUUGCUUGACCACUGCAUGGGAGGGGGCGUAUUGCAGGUGCCAGCAGACUCGCAGGUGGGAGGAAAAGGAAAAAUGAAAACUUUCUUUUGUUUACAAGAGAGAUAUAUCUUGCUGUUAGCUGCGUAAUUGAUUCAUCAAUAGACAGCAUUCCUGGAGGCUUAGGACAAUUUGGAGUUAUAGCAAGAGCGAGAAUUGCUCUUGAGCUAGCCCCUAAAAGAGUACGUUUAUAGAUAAUUGACUAGAAUUUUAUCUUGUAUUUCCCUCCACCAAUUCAUAGUGAUGCCAAAUCAAAUUGUCAUUUUUUUUUAUGGUGAAUUGUCAUUUUGUAUAUCUACCACAUGGCUAUUGGCACAAACAUACUGCACAUUUCAUUUAAUGUUAGUGACUUGCACUAGUUUCUUGGACUGAUUAUUUGUACUUGACUGUGGGAGGGACACUUUCCAAUGUUGGGAUUAAUGGCCAGAGUUUCCGUUAUGGUCCUCAAAUCAGCAACGUUCACGAAAUGGAUGUCAUCACCAGAAAAGGAGAGUUAGUAACAUGCUCUUCGCAGAAGAACUUGGAGUUAUUCCACGUGGUUCUUGGAGGCUUAGGACAAUUUGGAGUUAUAGCAAGAGCGAGAAUUGCACCAAAACUCCUUUCUUUUUUGUAACGUUUUCAUGAACCUCUUUACCAUAAUGUUAUAUUUUUCAGAUAAUUAAGAGAGUUAAUGUAAUGUUUAAGGAAUAUUAGUGUAAUAUUUUUCAAAUAAUUAAGGAGAUUAUUGUAGGGAUUAUCAUAUU